rnacentral:rRNA from 1 species
UACGGAGGGUGCAAGCGUUGUUCGGAAUUACUGGGCGUAAAGCGCGUGUAGGCGGCCUUGUAAGUCAGAUGUGAAAGCCCUCGGCUUAACCGGGGAAGUGCAUCUGAAACUGCUUGGCUUGAGUACCGGAGAGGGAGACGGAAUUCCCAGUGUAGAGGUGAAAUUCGCAGAUAUUGGGAGGAACACCGGUGGCGAAAGCGGUCUCCUGGACGGAUACUGACGCUGAGACGCGAAAGCGUGGGUAG